rnacentral:lncRNA from 1 species
AUACAGUCUAUUUUAUUCCCAAUCCACAAACAUAGUACAGCCCACAGGGCGUUACAAAACAGCCAAUCAAUCCAUACAAUACACCCAGACACUCCCACACAAAAUCCUCCCCUCUGGCUGUGAUAUGAUUACUGAACACAAUGGGUAAUCUAAUUAUCACAGCCAGAGAAAUACAGUUUCAUAAAACACAUGACAGGGACCCCAAAACAUGCAAUAACCCCAUAAAAGUAUAUCCUUGGAACUGGGGGAUCUGG